UUUUGGGUCGUGUUUACAUACCCGUGUUCGCGGGGUCCGACAUGCCAAUCAACCUGCUAUCUGCCAAUCACGGGAAUGCCUGGAAUGUUCUGACGCCGUCAUCGUGGACGGGGGUUGGGCAGGGGAAUGGAGCAUUGGAAGUUAAGACCACGUUUAGCCAUUGUUCUCUCUUACAUCUGGCCUUCACAAUUGAAGCUCACGGUUGGUUUUUGGGGUAUCUUUCAUUUAUUUGGCGUGGGCUAUGGCCAAACAGUAGCCUGUGUAAAGUUGGGUUAGUAAACCGUCAAUUCGUAAACUCAAGCCUCAGUCUGGGCAAUUGUUCCUUUAUGAUCUAGUCAGGUCAUUACAAUACGCUGCCGCUACUCUGUUUUUUAUAUUUUUUUUAAUUAAAAUUGUCUUACUUUUUAACUGCAUUGUUGGUAAAAAUAAUCUCGUAUGUAAGCAUUUCACAUUCAAGUCUACAGCUGUUGUAUUCCGUGCAUAUGACAAUUACAGUUGGACUUGAUUUGAAAGGCCCUAUACGGAUUGACCAUGAAAUGCAUGCCUCCAGCAGGAUGCACAGACAACAACUAUAGUUUGCAUGCCCUGCCGAAAGAUCCUUUCAUGCGGAAUAGAUGGUUGGAAUUUGUUGGUCCCCAGUGGUGACAAAGUGCCUAGUUGGGCCAGACCGACGCCCGCGCCAGGUCGGGCCAGACCGACGCCCGCGCCAGGUCGGGCCGGGCCAGACCGACGCCCGACCGACGCCCGGUCGGGCCAGACCGACGCCC
ensembl:lncRNA